rnacentral:rRNA from 1 species
AAAUGACGGUACCUGACUAAGAAGCCCCGGCUAACUACGUGCCAGCAGCCGCGGUAAUACGUAGGGGGCAAGCGUUAUCCGGAUUUACUGGGUGUAAAGGGAGCGUAGACGGCGAAGCAAGUCUGAAGUGAAAGCCCGGGGCUUAACCCCGGGACUGCUUUGGAAACUGUUUUGCUAGAGUGCUGGAGAGGUAAGUGGAAUUCCUAGUGUAGCGGUGAAAUGCGUAGAUAUUAGGAGGAACACCAGUGGCGAAGGCGGCUUACUGGACAGUAACUGACGUUGAGGCUCGAAAGCGUGGGGAGCAAACAGGAUUAGAUACCCUGGUAGUCCACGCGGUAAACGAUGAAUGCUAGGUGUUGGGGAGCAAAGCUCUUCGGUGCCGUCGCAAACGCAAUAAGCAUUCCACCUGGGGAGUACGUUCGCAAGAAUGAAACUCAAA